rnacentral:rRNA from 1 species
GACGAACGCUGGCGGCGUGCUUAACACAUGCAAGUCGAACGGAAAGGCCCUGCUUUUGUGGGGUGCUCGAGUGGCGAACGGGUGAGUAACACGUGAGUAACCUGCCCUUGACUUUGGGAUAACUUCAGGAAACUGGUGCUAAUACCGGAUAGGAGCUCCUGCUGCAUGGUGGGGGUUGGAAAGUUUCGGCGGUUGGGGAUGGACUCGCGGCUUAUCAGCUUGUUGGUGGGGUAGUGGCUUACCAAGGCUUUGACGGGUAGCCGGCCUGAGAGGGUGAACGGCCACAUUGGGACUGAGAUACGGCCCAGACUCCUACGGGAGGCAGCAGUGGGGAAUAUUGCACAAUGGGCGGAAGCCUGAUGAAGCAACGCCGCGUGCGGGAUGACGGCCUUCGGGUUGUAAACCGCUUUCGCCUGUGACGAAGCGUGAGUGACGGUAAUGGGUAAAGAAGCACCGGCUAACUACGUG